rnacentral:sRNA from 1 species
GAGGAGGAGGAGGAGGAUGAGGAAGAAGAGGAGGAAGACGACGACGACAACGAAGAAGAAGAAGGAGGAGGCAGAUGAUUGGUGGAAAGUGGGGUUGUGAGUUCUGUGCAUCAAGGUGACUAGUUCAAAAGCAAACAGGCAAAGUGCUCUUUGGUUCUGCCAUUGUUGGCUGUGUAUAAUUCAAACUUGAAUGUCUUCUUCCCACACUUGGAAUGGGAUCUCCUAAUACUUAGUGCUAACUCUGGGUUCCUGGUUAUAUCCACGCUGGGCCAGGCCAUAGCUCUGUAGGUAAAGGAUUUUACUUGCAAGCAUGAGGACCUGACCUUUGUCCCCCAAAAACAUGUUUAAAAAGACAAAACACCAGUCACAACAGCUUGUAUUUGUUAUCCCACUGCUAAAGAAGUCAGGAGAGCCCGACUCUCGCAGUCAUCCAGCCUAGUCCUUGGCUGAGUUUCAGGGCAACAAGAAUAUAUCUCAAAACAAAAACCAAACCAAACCAAAACAACAAAAACAACAACAAAAAAAUAAAUAAAAACCCAAAAAAACAUCUUAAGGGCAGCUGAGGUUGUCGAUGGCUCCCAUGUGCACAGGCACACACGUGUGCGUUUGGAAAGGUGUACAGGAGGUUUAUUCAUGGCAACAUUAACAUGCAUGUCAGAGGCUAUCAAACUUCUCGUUUUAAAGAUCAAAUUCGACUUAGUGCAGGGUUGAAGCCUGAGGCCUUUAUGUCUAGUUAGGGCUCUAACUCCGGCCUCGCGGUCCUACCUAGCAACCACGGGGCGUGGCUGACCUCACCCAGAGGUGCCACCAAGCCCAGACUGUCCGCCAGAGGCAGUAGGUGGGUGACUGGGUGCAUGGCUACUCGUGCCUGGCGGGGCGCCCGUCUUUCUCUUAAGGAAAUUCUUUUUAUUCUGUCCACAUAAUAAAGUACAUUUACACCAGCGUGGAUAUCUGAUCCGUGGAAAGAUCAGAGAGAACCUGGCACGCGUUCCUCCGUACUAAGCAACCAAUCCCACCUCCUGGCUCUAAGGUUAAAAAAAAAGAAAAAAAAAAAUCAACAAGAUAAUCUCAGCUUGUAGCCGCCCCAGGAACUUCCUGGUUCUGCAUAACCACGCCUUCCGUUUCUAUGGCAAUGGGUCCCUCCCCCUCAGAAAGCCAGCCCUACUUCAGUUAAAACACAUAGGCAAGCGUUCUCUUCUUCGCUGACAUUGAUGGCUUUGCUUAUAGAAUUUUUUCCUUUCCCUCCCUCGGCAGGUCUCGUUGGCUAACCUUAUUUCUCACAGGGCAUUAAACCUUUUUAUAAAACCACUAGAAGUAGCAGUGAUGGGCGUUGCCGGCUGCGAUGACAACAUUCUAAACUAUAAGUAACUGGAAUCGCCCUGGUGGACUGACUUGCCACAACGCGCGUGCUCUCUCAGCUGACGCCCUUUUCCAGUCUUCUAGGACUAAAGCUUGGCUGUCUCCUGCCCAUCCGGGUUCCAGAGUCUCAGCGGAUGCUCCGGCUCUUGCGGACUUAAGCACAAAGUGACAAAGAACCGAUGUCCAGGCAGUUGGCAAGGACAUUUGAGACUCAAUUCUUGGACUCUAAAGCCAGUGAAAACAAGCAGUGAAGACAUUGCUGGGCGAAGGGACUUCUGUAAGAGAGAAGUUUGCAAAGGAGAGUGAAGGUAAGUGUUUUUUUGGUUGCACAGUGGGUGAGAGGGGGCCUGACAUUGUCAUGUGGUGACAUCUGAGAGGCCUUCAAAGGGCUGUGAGACAAGCAGAAACCACGGAGUCAACAACGGAGGUAGUGAGUCUUUCCUAAUGAUCAGCACCUCUGGCACCAGAGAAUGAAGGAGGGGGCCACUGUCGGAGUGAAUGGCCUACUUUUCGGUGAUAUUAUGUGGACAAUGGGGACCUAAAGUAGAACAAAGGCACUGACUAUCCAGCAGCCAAUGGGACGAAUUUCCUGAAGGAGGCACCAGUCAGCUCUUUCAUGCAUUCAUGACUUUGGUUUAAAUGCCUCCAACCAAUGCUCAUGUUGAAAUUUAAUUUCCACCAUGAGGUAAAAUGAUGGGUCCAGGCAGGCUCUGUAAGAGGAGAUUAAUGCAUCCCAGAUUAAUGGAUUAAGAGGAAAUGGAUUAUCUCAGGAGCGGCUUUGUUCUAAAGUGAGCUUCCUGGCUUCUCUUUUAUAUCAACUGUGUGACACCUUGCACUGUCCUGGGACUCACAGAGUCCUCACCAGCAUCAAUGUGCUCAACAGGCUGGGUCCCUCCACCUUGGACUUCCCAGCUUCCCUAACUACAAAAUAGACCUCUUUAACAAAAAUCUUCCAGGUGGUAGAUUUUUUUUUAAAUCAACAGAAAACAGACCAGGAUGCUCACCUUCAAGUAGGCGUUUUUGUGCGUCCUGUGUCAGGUACCUGCACACUCGAGGGAGGACAUUUUGCUACUGUGGCGAGCUGCCCAUGGAGCUCUCAGAAGACACAGAGUCCAGGGGCAAAGAAACAUCUUAAUUUUUACAGGCAAGAGCUCUGGUGGAGGUGAACACAGGGUAACCUCGGAGUGUCCCAGACAAAAGACGCUUAGACUGAGUCUUGAGGGGUAAGCAGAGAUUGGUCAAAGAACAAGACUAGGAAGUGUACGCUGGUCAGAAGGAACAGCUGGUGCAGGGCUCUUUAAGCAACCUCACACUCAUGGUAGCUCUAGUCUGGGAUAAGGGAAAUUGGGCUUUUCUAAAACUUUACACAUCAAAUAAUGACCUCAGUCGUUUAGCAAGUGUGUGAUAUGUUUAGGCACUGGGUGACUUUGCUUGCGUACUUGUUUGCUUGCAGUAUUGGAAAAUGAACUCGAUGCCUUGUGCAUAUGAGACAUGAGUCCCUGAUUAUACCCUCCAGCCCAGACUCCGUUCUAUUAAUUAAUGUGUUUAUUUGUGUUGGAGGCAGAGUCUUGUAUGUCUUAGGCACGGUUCCAGCUUGCUAUGCAGUCAGGGAUAAGCCUCACUGUCUGCUCCUCCUGCUUCCCCCUCCCAGUACUGGGAUAACAGAUGUGUGCCCCUCACCUGGUUUAUUGGUGCUAAGGAUGAAAGCCAGGGUUCUGGGCAUGCGAGCCAAGUCCACUACUAACUGAGCCACAUCCCCGGCCAGGUAGCAUUUGUUACACACAGUGACUUGUUUAAUUAUCACGAAGGACAUCGCCAUUCUCACUUUACAAACUUUCCCCCUUCAGAGUCUCAGAGUCAGGAAGCUCUUGGGGGGGUGGUGAUGGAGGAGACUGUGUGCUUUGGGAUAAGACAUGUAGGUGACAACAAGAGAAAGAAGGCGACAGUGACUUGAGUUUAAGUUUGGACAUUACCUGUCGUGGAUAUCCCCAUCGACACUCAAGUUGAAAUUCAAUUUCUCUUGUGAGGUAUUAAGAGUUGGGUCCAGAAGGGACACUCCGUGGUGACUGGGCUAUCAGGGCAGAGUCCAUGGGUUAACAUUACCUUGAGGGUGGGGCUACUGUAGAAGCUAGUUUGAUUUUGUUUCUUUUCUGUACCCCAGGCACCAAGUCAUACCCUCUGCCACCUCAGGGUACUUGGAAGUGUCUCCACCUGCCAAGAGAUCAGCUCCAGAUGAGGCCUCUUAACCUCAAACUUUCAGCUUCUAGAACCGCUGGCUGAGUGAACGUGUAUUAUUUAUAAGGGAUCCAAUUCCUGGUAUUUGGUUGUAGCAACAGAAAACUGACUAUGACAGACAUAUUGAGCUCCAAUUGUUUGUGAACAACAUGGAAAUGUCAGCAGCUGCUGAGUUCUCUUUUCUAACCUCAGGAGAGAGGCCUGGGUAGAAAAGAAGGAUUAGAGACGAAAAAGAAAUCCAGGAGAGGAAACCAUUACACUAAGCAAUAUUAGGCAGGCAAAGGUCACAGUGCCUUCCGUGUUUAACCCUUUCAAUGCCCGAAUAAAGUCAAUAACCACCAUGAUUUUAUAGGAUAGACUAAGUCAGUCAGUCUCCCUGCCCUUCUAUAGCUGCAUUUCCACCCCUUUGUGACUAUAAACCAGUAUUUUAUGUUGGAGAGAAUAUA